CAUUUUGCAGAAGUGAUGACAGAAGGAGAAGGGACCGUGACAUCCCUCACACCCCAGGAGGGUGUUUAUGUGCCACUUGCAGGGGGCAAAGAAGGUGCCACCCUGAUAAUCACCACUCCAAACACAGGCAUGAAGCUGAUUCAGUUAUAUGCAAUGAACCACUCACCUGAGUCCUGCACAACCAUCAGCAACCUCCCAAAACUCAGCCCUCUGAUUUUCAGCAUGUUUUCUAAGAAGCUCCAAUGUCAGCAAAAGCACUAACUAGGACAGUACCUUAUGGACAGUGUAAGCUGGCAGAUUUUCCCUCUGAACAUAUGGAUCUCACUGAUAAAGCCUAUCUCCAGCACUUAGCCCGUGCUGUGCAGUCUGUGCCACCUCAGCUGCAUCCCACCCGUGUUUGGGAGGCUCUAAAACCCUUCCACUGAAACAAAACAGUAACUUGGAGAUGUGUUAAUGUUCAAAACCCCUGGUGUGAUUCUACAGUUAUUAAUUAGCACAUCCAACAAGGUGCCUGCCCUCUGAAGGGCAUUAAAAUCCCAUGAGACAGAGGCUGAAGAGCAGGGACCUACUA